CCCCCAGAUCUUCUCAGCCUGGAGGGGUUUGGGUUUGGUUUUCACUACAGCUGGAUCCACCCACACCUUGGCGAGGCCCCAGGCACCAACCAGUCCCCGGCAAGGAGACACACACCCCCUCCCCCCAUGUCCCAUGGCAAAAUCUUCCCCUGAGCCCUGGCAGCUCAAACCCAGCGGCUGCCCCAUGGCGCGGGCAGGGAGCGCUCCACGCAGGGCGCUGCUCCCCGGGCCCCAGCGCUGGAGGAAGCGGAGCAGCGCCAGUGCUGCCCGCGGUGCCAGGAGCCCAUCCCCCGGAGCCUGCUGCAGCUCUGGGGGCAGCUGGGGAGCACGGUGGGGACCUCCAGGGGUCUGCGGAUCUCCAAGGGAUGUCACAAGCGUGUCUGACCUGUCUGAGGAAAGAGAGAGAAGAAAGCAAAACUUAUAGGGAGAGGAAAAGCAAAGAGCCACUGGGGCUGGUGACCUUUGAGGAGGUGGCUGUGUAUUUCACACGGGGCAGGGGGCUCUGCUGGACCCCGGUCAGAGAGCCCUCUACAGGGACGUCAUGCAGGAGAAUUACAAGACAGUGACCUCACUAUGGCAUCUGAUUUCUAAGCCCAACAUGAUGUCCCAGCAGGAGCGAGGGGAAGACCCGGGCCUCCAGAACUCAGAGAAAAGGGAGAGUCCAGGGGGCACCUGCACAGCAAGUGACUUGACAGUGGCUGAGAACAAGGAGGAGAAUUCUCAGCAGGAGGGCCCUGAGCCAGUGGAGCUGCAUGGGACAGUGUCAAUAAAAUCCAAGAGGAAUGUGUCCCUAAGCCCUGAAUGGGGGGAAUUGCACAGGAUGUCAUCAGUAAAGACCCGAAGGGAACGCUUCACAGAGUUGUGAGCAGGAAAAAGUCUGUGAAUCUCAGUGUGGAUCAGAAAGGCUGCAAGGAAACCAGCUGGGGACAAAUCAGGAUAAACCCACUCAUGGCGUGGGAGGUUUGAAGGAACUCAACAAAAGUGUAACCCAGCCGAGCAACCCUGUGGGAGGGAGACCCCACAGGUGCGCUGAGUGUGGGAAAAGCUUUAGUUGCAACUCAUGCCUUUACGGGCACCGGAGAACCCACGGGGGCGAGAAGCCUUACAAGCAGGGCUUUGUAGUGGAGCCCAGAGCUGAAGCAUGGAGCAGCUCCGGAGAAAUGGAGCUGCAGGUUUUUGCCUGGAGCUGGAGCGGAGCCGGAGCACAGCUCCAAAGCCCUGCUUACAAGUGCCCCAACUGUGAGAAAAGAUUCUGCAGCAGCUAGACCCUUGCCAGCCAUCGCAGGCUGCACAGGGAGAGAAACCCUACGCCUGCUCUGAGUGCAGGAAGAGCUUUAGCUAUAGCUUGUCUCUCGUGACGCACCGGCGAGUCCACACAGGCAAGACACCCUAUUCCUGCCUGCGCUGCGGGAAGAGCUUCCAGCAGAGAUCCAACCUCGCUGUGCAUCAGAUACUCCACUGUGUGAAAAGACCUUACAAAUAAACAAACCCCUGCCCCAUCCCCAGAGCAUUUGCAGUUCUCAGGAAUGUCAGGGGGCAUUCAGUCGCUGGCUGCCUGUCUCUGGGGUCAGGAGACAGCAGAACCUACUCCAGCCUGAUCGGUACCGUUCUCUGGCUCAGCAGGCAGAGGAGGAAAGACCCUGGUCAGUUCCACCUUCCUGCUGCAGCCCCAGCUUCUAAGUUCUUUGCUUCAUGGCAGGGGAGAAAGAUCCUCCCAUCUGCUUUCUGUGCCUGGGAUGGACUCCUCUCCUUUCCCUAUCCCUGGAGAAGGAUACGCCGGCCAUGCCUCACUCCUGAGACCUGUGUCUAGCUUCCCCCAGCACCUGGGCUAGGAUCCCCAUUCACCUGAAUUUGUUACCUGGGGGAUGGACACCCUAUAGACCUCUCAAAGCCCCCAGGGGACUGGCUGCUAGGCCUUGAGCUGUUUGGGCAUCCCCUCCCCAAAUGGUUAUUUGUCUCACGGCCAUCUGUUUUUGCUCAUUUUCUCCUCUUUCAUCUGUGAGAAUUGCCAGAUGGCUGAAAUAUGAAAAAUUACCAAUAAUAAAACAAACGUGUGCUGAAUCUCAG